AGACCCGAAACCCGGUGAUCUAGCCAUGGGCAGGUUGAAGGUUGGGUAACACUAACUGGAGGACCGAACCGACUAAUGUUGAAAAAUUAGCGGAUGACCUGUGGCUGGGGGUGAAAGGCCAAUCAAACCGGGAGAUAGCUGGUUCUCCCCGAAAGCUAUUUAGGUAGCGCCUCGUGAAUUCAUCUCCGGGGGUAGAGCACUGUUUCGGCUAGGGGGCCAUCCCGGCUUACCAACCCGAUGCAAACUGCGAAUACCGGAGAAUGUUAUCACGGGAGACACACGGCGGGUGCUAACGUCCGUCGUGAAGAGGGAAACAACCCAGACCGCCAGCUAAGGUCCCAAAGUCAUGGUUAAGUGGGAAACGAUGUGGGAAGGCCCAGACAGCCAGGAUGUUGGCUUAGAAGCAGCCAUCAUUUAAAGAAAGCGUAAUAGCUCACUGGUCGAGUCGGCCUGCGCGGAAGAUGUAACGGGGCUAAACCAUGCACCGAAGCUGCGGCAGCGAACGUAUCACCCAAGACAACUUUACGGAGUUGACGAUUGACGGAGCGAAGCGACGUCAAAGCGUUCAUUAAAGUCGAGUUGGCUUAGGGAUACGUUCGUUGGGUAGGGGAGCGUUCUGUAAGCCUGUGAAGGUGUGUCGUGAGGCAUGCUGGAGGUAUCAGAAGUGCGAAUGCUGACAUAAGUAACGAUAAAGCGGGUGAAAAGCCCGCUCGCCGGAAGACCAAGGGUUCCUGUCCAACGUUAAUCGGGGCAGGGUGAGUCGACCCCUAAGGCGAGGCCGAAAGGCGUAGUCGAUGGGAAACGGGUUAAUAUUCCCGUACUUGGUGUUACUGCGAAGGGGGGACGGAGAAGGCUAUGUUGGCCGGGCGACGGUUGUCCCGGUUUAAGCGUGUAGGUGUGUGUUCCAGGUAAAUCCGGUUCACUUUAACACUGAGGCGUGACGACGAGGCACUACGGUGCUGAAGCAACAAAUGCCCUGCUUCCAGGAAAAGCCUCUAAGCAUCAGGUAACAUCAAAUCGUACCCCAAACCGACACAGGUGGUCAGGUAGAGAAUACCAAGGCGCUUGAGAGAACUCGGGUGAAGGAACUAGGCAAAAUGGUGCCGUAACUUCGGGAGAAGGCACGCUGACACGUAGGUGAAGUGAUUUACUCAUGGAGCUGAAGUCAGUCGAAGAUACCAGCUGGCUGCAACUGUUUAUUAAAAACACAGCACUGUGCAAACACGAAAGUGGACGUAUACGGUGUGACGCCUGCCCGGUGCCGGAAGGUUAAUUGAUGGGGUCAGCGCAAGCGAAGCUCCUGAUCGAAGCCCCGGUAAACGGCGGCCGUAACUAUAACGGUCCUAAGGUAGCGAAAUUCCUUGUCGGGUAAGUUCCGACCUGCACGAAUGGCGUAAUGAUGGCCAGGCUGUCUCCACCCGAGACUCAGUGAAAUUGAACUCGCUGUGAAGAUGCAGUGUACCCGCGGCAAGACGGAAAGACCCCGUGAACCUUUACUAUAGCUUGACACUGAACAUUGAGCCUUGAUGUGUAGGAUAGGUGGGAGGCUUUGAAGUGUGGACGCCAGUCUGCAUGGAGCCGACCUUGAAAUACCACCCUUUAAUGUUUGAUGUUCUAACGUGGACCCGUAAUCCGGGUUGCGGACAGUGUCUGGUGGGUAGUUUGACUGGGGCGGUCUCCUCCUAAAGAGUAACGGAGGAGCACGAAGGUUGGCUAAUCCUGGUCGGACAUCAGGAGGUUAGUGCAAUGGCAUAAGCCAGCUUGACUGCGAGCGUGACGGCGCGAGCAGGUGCGAAAGCAGGUCAUAGUGAUCCGGUGGUUCUGAAUGGAAGGGCCAUCGCUCAACGGAUAAAAGGUACUCCGGGGAUAACAGGCUGAUACCGCCCAAGAGUUCAUAUCGACGGCGGUGUUUGGCACCUCGAUGUCGGCUCAUCACAUCCUGGG
rnacentral:rRNA from 1 species